UACGUAGGGAGCAAGCGUUGUCCGGAAUCAUUGGGCGUAAAGCGCGCGUAGGUGGCUUCGUAAGUCCGUUGUGAAAAGUCAAAGGCUCAACCUUUGAAUGCCGAUGGAUACUGCGGAGCUAGAGUACGGAAGAGGCGAGUGGAAUUCCUGGUGUAGCGGUGGAAUGCGCAGAUAUCAGGAGGAACACCAAUAGCGAAGGCAGCUCGCUGGGACGUUACUGACACUAAGGCGCGAAAGCGUGGGGAGCGAACAGG
rnacentral:rRNA from 1 species